rnacentral:rRNA from 1 species
GCAAGUCGAGCGGAUGAAAGGAGCUUGCUCCUGGAUUCAGCGGCGGACGGGUGAGUAAUGCCUAGGAAUCUGCCUGGUAGUGGGGGACAACGUUUCGAAAGGAACGCUAAUACCGCAUACGUCCUACGGGAGAAAGCAGGGGACCUUCGGGCCUUGCGCUAUCAGAUGAGCCUAGGUCGGAUUAGCUAGUUGGUGAGGUAAUGGCUCACCAAGGCGACGAUCCGUAACUGGUCUGAGAGGAUGAUCAGUCACACUGGAACUGAGACACGGUCCAGACUCCUACGGGAGGCAGCAGUGGGGAAUAUUGGACAAUGGGCGAAAGCCUGAUCCAGCCAUGCCGCGUGUGUGAAGAAGGUCUUCGGAUUGUAAAGCACUUUAAGUUGGGAGGAAGGGUUGUAGAUUAAUACUCUGCAAUUUUGACGUUACCGACAGAAUAAGCACCGGCUAACUCUGUGCCAGCAGCCGCGGUAAUACAGAGGGUGCAAGCGUUAAUCGGAAUUACUGGGCGUAAAGCGCGCGUAGGUGGUUUGUUAAGUUGGAUGUGAAAUCCCCGGGCUCAACCUGGGAACUGCAUCCAAAACUGGCAAGCUAGAGUAUGGUAGAGGGUGGUGGAAUUUCCUGUGUAGCGGUGAAAUGCGUAGAUAUAGGAAGGAACACCAGUGGCGAAGGCGACCACCUGGACUGAUACUGACACUGAGGUGCGAAAGCGUGGGGAGCAAACAGGAUUAGAUACCCUGGUAGUCCACGCCGUAAACGAUGUCAACUAGCCGUUGGGAGCCUUGAGCUCUUAGUGGCGCAGCUAACGCAUUAAGUUGACCGCCUGGGGAGUACGGCCGCAAGGUUAAAACUCAAAUGAAUUGACGGGGGCCCGCACAAGCGGUGGAGCAUGUGGUUUAAUUYGAAGCAACGCGAAGAACCUUACCAGGCCUUGACAUCCAAUGAACUUUCCAGAGAUGGAUUGGUGCCUUCGGGAACAUUGAGACAGGUGCUGCAUGGCUGUYGUCAGCUCGUGUCGUGAGAUGUUGGGUUAAGUCCCGUAACGAGCGCAACCCUUGUCCUUAGUUACCAGCACGUAAUGGUGGGCACUCUAAGGAGACUGCCGGUGACAAACCGGAGGAAGGUGGGGAUGACGUCAAGUCAUCAUGGCCCUUACGGCCUGGGCUACACACGUGCUACAAUGGUCGGUACAGAGGGUUGCCAAGCCGCGAGGUGGAGCUAAUCCCACAAAACCGAUCGUAGUCCGGAUCGCAGUCUGCAACUCGACUGCGUGAAGUYGGAAUCGCUAGUAAUCGCGAAUCAGAAUGUCGCGGUGAAUACGUUCCCGGGCCUUGUACACACCGCCCGUCACACCAUGGGAGUGGGUUGCACCAGAAGUAGCUAGUCUAACCUUCGGGAGGAC